GUUUCAGGGCGAGGUGCAAUUCCUCACCGGCGGUAUAGUCCGCGACCCGACUUCCUUUACGGAACAAGGCUGAUUCGGUGAAAUUCCGAAACCGACGGUAUAGUCCGGAUGAAAGAAA
rnacentral:ncRNA from 1 species